GUGGCAACCCAGGCCGGACAAGGGACCAGUCUCCCUCCAGACCCAGGCCGGAGGGAGGGACAGCCGGGAAGGGCAAGGGUCCCUGGGGGCAUCCACUGAGGCCGCUCCAGCCCUCCCCCCAAGGCCUCCUCCAACACCCGACCCGGAACCAACUCCCCACAUCUCUCACUCGCCGAAGCCCCCGGAUCCCCACCCCCGGGUGGGGGUGCAGGUCGGCCCGAUCGCAGCUCUCAGAAUCCCCGAAUAGAGGCCAAGGCUGGAGGGUGCUAGAAAGAUGAUCGCCCGGGCCCGGAGCUGGGGGCCCAGAGCCGCAUUGUUACCUCCUGUGACCCCCACAACGUGCUCUCAGAUGGUCAUUGAUGGAGUCUCACUUUGUUGCCCAGGAUGGAGGGCAGUGGCGCGAUCUCAGCUCUCUGCAACCUCUGCCUCCCAGGUUCAAGCAAUUCUCCUGCCUCAGCCUCCCGAGUAGCUGAGACUACAGGCGCAUGCCACCACGCCCAGCCAACCUUCUGAGAAAAGCAAUAAGCAAUCAAUCCAUUUCCUGUCUCUCAUUCACACCUUGAAUCACGGAAAUCAGGUUUAUACCUCAUUUCUCCUCUGAAAUCUCCCCCAAAUCCCUCAGUUGUCAAAUCUAAUAAAUAUUCUAGUCAUUGUCGUA